AGCCCGCUCGCCGGAAGACCAAGGGUUCCUGUCCAACGUUAAUCGGGGCAGGGUGAGUCGACCCCUAAGGCGAGGCCGAAAGGCGUAGUCGAUGGGAAACAGGUUAAUAUUCCUGUACUUGGUGUUACUGCGAAGGGGGGACGGAGAAGGCUAUGUUGGCCGGGCGACGGUUGUCCCGGUUUAAGCGUGUAGGCUGGUUUUCCAGGCAAAUCCGGAAAACCAAGGCUGAGGCGUGAUGACGAAGCACUACGGUGCUGAAGCGACAAAUGCCCUGCUUCCAGGAAAAGCCUCUAAGCAUCAGGUAACAUCAAAUCGUACCCCAAACCGACACAGGUGGUCAGGUAGAGAAUACCAAGGCGCUUGAGAGAACUCGGGUGAAGGAACUAGGCAAAAUGGUGCCGUAACUUCGGGAGAAGGCACGCUGAUAUGUAGGUGAAGCGACUUGCUCGUGGAGCUGAAAUCAGUCGAAGAUACCAGCUGGCUGCAACUGUUUAUUAAAAACACAGCACUGUGCAAACACGAAAGUGGACGUAUACGGUGUGACGCCUGCCCGGUGCCGGAAGGUUAAUUGAUGGGGUUAGCGGUAACGCGAAGCUCUUGAUCGAAGCCCCGGUAAACGGCGGCCGUAACUAUAACGGUCCUAAGGUAGCGAAAUUCCUUGUCGGGUAAGUUCCGACCUGCACGAAUGGCGUAAUGAUGGCCAGGCUGUCUCCACCCGAGACUCAGUGAAAUUGAACUCGCUGUGAAGAUGCAGUGUACCCGCGGCAAGACGGAAAGACCCCGUGAACCUUUACUAUAGCUUGACACUGAACAUUGAGCCUUGAUGUGUAGGAUAGGUGGGAGGCUUUGAAGUGUGGACGCCAGUCUGCAUGGAGCCGACCUUGAAAUACCACCCUUUAAUGUUUGAUGUUCUAACGUUGGCCCGUAAUCCGGGUUGCGGACAGUGUCUGGUGGGUAGUUUGACUGGGGCGGUCUCCUCCUAAAGAGUAACGGAGGAGCACGAAGGUUGGCUAAUCCUGGUCGGACAUCAGGAGGUUAGUGCAAUGGCAUAAGCCAGCUUGACUGCGAGCGUGACGGCGCGAGCAGGUGCGAAAGCAGGUCAUAGUGAUCCGGUGGUUCUGAAUGGAAGGGCCAUCGCUCAACGGAUAAAAGGUACUCCGGGGAUAACAGGCUGAUACCGCCCAAGAGUUCAUAUCGACGGCGGUGUUUGGCACCUCGAUGUCGGCUCAUCACAUCCUGGGGCUGAAGUAGGUCCCAAGGGUAUGGCUGUUCGCCAUUUAAAGUGGUACGCGAGCUGGGUUUAGAACGUCGUGAGACAGUUCGGUCCCUAUCUGCCGUGGGCGCUGGAGAACUGAGGGGGGCUGCUCCUAGUACGAGAGGACCGGAGUGGACGCAUCACUGGUGUUCGGGUUGUCAUGCCAAUGGCACUGCCCGGUAGCUAAAUGCGGAAGAGAUAAGUGCUGAAAGCAUCUAAGCACGAAACUUGCCCCGAGAUGAGUUCUCCCUGAGACUUAGAGUCUCCUGAAGGAACGUUGAAGACGACGACGUUGAUAGGCCGGGUGUGUAAGCGCAGCGAUGCGUUGAGCUAACCGGUACUAAUGAACCGUGAGGCUUAACCUU
rnacentral:rRNA from 1 species